GACGAACGCUGGCGGCGUGCCUAACACAUGCAAGUCGAACGGACAGGCCCUGCUUCUGCGGGGUGCUCGAGUGGCGAACGGGUGAGUAACAUGUGAGUAACCUGCCCUCGACUUUGGGAUAAUUAUAGGAAAUUGGGGCUAAUACCGGAUAGGAGCUCCUGCUGCAUGGUGGGGGUUGGAAAGUUUCGGCGGUUGGGGAUGGACUCGCGGCUGAUCAGCUUGCUGGUGGGGUGGUGGCUUACCAAGGCUUUGGCGGGUAGCCGGCCGGAGAGGGUGACCGGCCACAUAGAGUCGGAGAUAGGGCCCAGACUCAUACGGAAGGCAGGAAGGGGUAAGGUUGCACAGUGGGCGGAGGCCUGAUUCAGCAACGCCUGGUGCGGGAUGGCGGCCGUCGUGUGGGAAGCCGAGUUCGCCUAGGACGGAACGUGAGGAAGGUUAAAGGAGAAGGAGGCACCGGCAAACUACGG
rnacentral:rRNA from 1 species